rnacentral:rRNA from 1 species
UACGUAGGGGCUAGCGUUGUCCGGAUUUAUUGGGCGUAAAGAGCGUGUAGGCGGCCAGGUAAGUCUGGUGUGAAAACUCGAGGCUUAACCUCGAGAUGUCAUCGGAAACCAUCUGGCUAGAGUCCGGAAGAGGAUGGUGGAAUUCCCGGUGUAGCGGUGAAAUGCGUAGAGAUCGGGAGGAACAUCCGUGGCGAAGGCGGCCAUCUGGAUCAACACUGACGCUGAGGCACGAAAGCGUGGGGAGCAAACAGG